CUACCACCAACAUAAUCAUCAACAGUAGCAGUAUCAUCACCAACAUCAUCAUCAACAGUAGCACUAUCAUCACCAACAUCAUCAACAGUAGCAGUAUCAUCACCAACAUCAUCAGCCCCAUCAGUAGCAGAAUCAUAUCGCCGUGCAUUGUAGUAUCGCGAUAUAUCGUGGAUCGUAUCGCCGUGCAUUGUGGUAUCGCGAUAUAUCGUGGGUCGUAUCGCCGAGCAUUGUGGUAUCGCGAUAUAUCGUGGGUCGUACCGCCGAGCAUUGUGGUAUCGCGAUAUAUCGCGUUGACUCCUUGACGUCACGUCCGCUUCCAGGGUCGGCCCGGAACAUGUUUGGGAGAGCGGCACGUGACCCAAACCGGUCCUGACCUGUAUUGGAGAGGUGAGAGAGACGAGGUGGGAGAGGUGCGAGAGACGAGGUGGGAGAGGUGCGAGAGACGAGGUGGGAGAGGUGAGAGAGACGAGGUGGGAGAGGUGAGAGAGACGAGGUCCCAAGACCUGGGUUCAGGAGGUGGUGAACGUCUGCACGCCUCGGUUUUUCUGAUGUGGAGCAGUAUGGAAACCCCUUGGAUCAGAUCUCACCAAAUAGCACCGUGAAUGCGCCAGAUUUCUUCACCUGUAGGAAGCUAAACAGAUUUGAGCCUGCUCAGGACUGCAAUGGGUGGCCACCUGGAGUUUCCAGGUGUAGGACUGGGGCUGCGAAGUGACCAGGAGAUUGAAGAUCAGCAAUGAAUUCUUGAAUUUCUGUGUUUUUGUCACUUUGGUGACCCAGGUUACUUGCAAAUGACUUGAUCUCAAAAUAAACUUGAAACUUGUACUCGG